UACGUAGGGUGCGAGCGUUGUCCGGAAUUACUGGGCGUAAAGAGCUCGUAGGUGGUUUGUCGCGUUGUCCGUGAAAACUCACAACUCAAUUGUGGGCGUGCGGGCGAUACGGGCAGACUGGAGUACUGCAGGGGAGACUGGAAUUCUGGUGUAGCGGUGGAAUGCGCAGAUAUCAGGAGGAACACCGGUGGCGAAGGCGGGUCUCUGGGCAGUGAACUGACGCUGGAGGAGCGAAAGCGUGGGGAGCGAACAGG
rnacentral:rRNA from 1 species